CCGUCACAGCCUGGGCCUUCUAGGCGCCUGUCAUGUCUACCCCUGCUUCCCCAGAAGCCACUGUCUUCAGAGCAGAUGCAAUGACCACCCCUGGAAGCCUUGGAGGGCUAACAGAACCCUGGAUUUAUAGAUGCAUACACACCUUUUGACCUCUCCAGCUAAAAUUCGAAGUGGAAUUGAUCUGGUACAAUGCAAAAAUCAGCAUAAAGCCCGGACUGCUUCGAGGACAAAGGGAUCAGUAGAUACUGAAGAUGUCCUUGGUAGCAAGGCUGUCCCAGAGCUUCUGCAGUGGCCCCAAAAUACCAGGCUGUGUCCCUAUUAUGAGACUUGGAACAAACGUGAGGUGCUUAAUGGGAGAAGUUCAACACAACCAUCAGCCUUCAACUCCCUUUAUUUCUCAUGAUUGAGAUCUGCCAGGCGCAUUUCUUCAAAUGAAAAGUCUAAAUCCAGAGAACCGACAGUGACAAAUUGGAUUCAGUCUCAUUCUGUGAUACCGGCUGUGAUUUGCAGCUGUCCUCUCCUGCAACAUAUACAGGAGGAGUCUGAGCUUGUGUUUUUCUGCGGGCUGUCUGUCUGAAAUAAAUAAGGAAUGGGGAACAACCUCGACAACCUUUUCUACAGAAGCAUGAGGGCCAAUUUGCUUCUCCCACACAUGCCAGGUCAGUGAUCUGUUCAGCCCAAGACAUGGGAUAGAUUGGCCCAAGACGUGUGAGAACUAUUCAAGGCCCAAGAACCUGCUUGUGACCAGGGUGCUUCACAAAGCAGCGUGACAAUGACAAGCGUCACAGUGAGACCCACAGAACAGUGGACCCAGCAAGGGGACCCCCAAGGGAGAGCCGGCUCUGGGCUGGAAGAGGGCCCUUGAAAAAUUUAGCCUUCAG
ensembl:lncRNA